UACAGAGGGUGCAAGCGUUAAUCGGAAUUACUGGGCGUAAAGCGUGCGUAGUCGGUUAUCUAAGUCGGGUGUGAAAUCCCCGGGCUCAACCUGGGAAUUGCAUUCGAUACUGGAUAGCUAGAGUUCGGCAGAGGGAAGCGGAAUUUCGGGUGUAGCGGUGAAAUGCGUAGAUAUCCGAAGGAACAUCAGUGGCGAAAGCGGCUUCCUGGACCAGAACUGACGAUCAGGCACGAAAGCGUGGGGAGCAAACAGG
rnacentral:rRNA from 3 species